AUUGAACGCUGGCGGCAGGCCUAACACAUGCAAGUCGAGCGAGCGGCGGACGGGUGAGUACUGUCUGUGAAACUGCCUGAUGGAGGGGGAUAACUACUGUAAACGGUAGCUAAUACCGCAUACCAUCAGAUGUGCCCAGAUGGGAUUAGCUAGUAGGUGGGGUAAUGGAUCACCUAGGAGACGCUCCCUCGCUGGUCGGAGAGGAUGACCAGCAACAGUGGAACUGAUACACGGUCCAGACUCCUACGGGAGGCAGCAGUGGGUAAUAGUGCACAAUGGGCGCAAGCCUGAUGCAGCCAUGCCGCGUGAGUGAAGAAGGCCUUCGGGUUGUAAAGCGCUUUCAGCAGGGAGGCGUUACCCGCAGAAGAAGCACCGGCUAACUCCGUGCCAGCAGCCGCGGUAAUAA
rnacentral:rRNA from 1 species